rnacentral:rRNA from 1 species
GGGGAAUAUUGCACAAUGGGCGAAAGCCUGAUGCAGCAACGCCGCGUGAGUGAUGAAGGCCUUCGGGUUGUAAAGCUCUGUCUUCUUGGACGAUAAUGACGGUACCAGAGGAGGAAGCCACGGCUAACUACGUGCCAGCAGCCGCGGUAAUACGUAGGUGGCAAGCGUUGUCCGGAUUUACUGGGCGUAAAGAGCUCGUAGGCGGUUUGUCGCGUCUGCUGUGAAAACCCGAGGCUCAACCUCGGGCCUGCAGUGGGUACGGGCAAACUAGAGUGCGGUAGGGGAGAUUGGAAUUCCUGGUGUAGCGGUGGAAUGCGCAGAUAUCAGGAGGAACACCGAUGGCGAAGGCAGAUCUCUGGGCCGUAACUGACGCUGAGGAGCGAAAGCAUGGGGAGCGAACA